UCGCCGCAUAUUAGUUUCAGGAAUGUCUAUAAGUGAUUAUGUACAGUGAUUACUUACUUGUGUAAAUAAAAAAAAAAAAAAAAUAAAAAAAAAAAAUUAGUUUCAGGUAUGCUGGACAAAACAGCCUCAAAAAGUGACGUCAUCGGCGCCCUAGCAACUUGCAGCCCCAUUUUACUCAAAUUUAUUUCUCGACUGAGAGCAUAAUUUUGCAUGUCUCUGAAGUGCCUUUGAUAAUACAGAUUUGCCUUAAUUUUAGGUCGUCUUUCUUUUCUUUUUCCAGCUUGCUUUGCCUCAUUGAGAUCUGUGAUCAUUGUAGAUCUUUUAGGUUUAGAAAAUCUUACAAAUGCCUUUGGGUUACUUUGCCUCUUCCAAGGAGUGGCCGCAGUUUUGGAGCUCCCCUAGCAGGUCAAUUCAAAGUCAUGACGAACAGCUACGACUGCUCGUUCUACUUGUCGGGAGGGCUUCUCACCUUGUCGGCCAUCAUGAGUUACCCGCUGAAUAGGUUGAACAAAUGGGAAAAGGAACGCAACAGGCUGAAAGAGAACCUCAACUACGAGAUGAAGAGCAUCUGAAACCCGGACCUAGGAAGGGCGAUUCUUGCAAGUCGGCAACACUGUUCUUCCUCCAUCUAAGUCUAUGUAAAACAAUCCAUUCGUAUUUUUUAAAAACACAAAAUUUCUUUGAGAAAACUGACUAACUUGCGCAAUUUUUUUUAAAAAAAAGUCAGUGAGUCAGUUUUCUCAAAAAAAGUAUGAGUUUUUAAAAAUUCGAGACUUGUGUAGCCCCUUAACGGCGCACAGUGGAUCGAGUCAAGAGGAGAGGUCGGACAAAAUUUGGAAAAUUUUAACGCUUACAACUCCGUUUAAAUAAAAUUUUGAGGUUCUAAAAGUGGUUCUAUUGGUUUUCUCGUGGAAUUUUCCUCCAGUAUUACCCCUUGAAAUUUAAAAUGUGACGAAAUAAACAUCAAAAUUUGCGAUUUUAUCUAUACAUUUCAUGUCCGACCUCUCUCAUGUCUCGAUCCAUUGUGCGGCGUCCGUAGUAAUCGAUUCGUAAAUCGAUAUUAAUAAAAAAUCGAAAAUAAUAUGUGACCGGGCAUGGGAAAGGGGACUUGAGGUGAAAGGUCAAAUUAGGAGAGCAAAAACCCCCGAUCCAAGUUGAAAUGACGAAUUUUUCGUUUUUUGAUGAAAAUCGACGUCAACGCCACUACUAGCACAGUUUCAGGUUAUAAUUUGCAUAAUCAACAAAAUUAUAAGCAUUUGAUGAAAUGAACGAGGUUAGCGGCUGGCAACAGCGCACUCGCUCCAACUUGAAUUGCUUUUUUCUCAAAAUCGCGAUUUAUUGACCUCAAAGUCUGAAACGCUCUAGAAAAAUCAAUUUUAGGCGUUUCCUCCCGACAAAAUGAUGCGAAAUUACCCCCUAUGAAUGUGGUGGUAUAAUUCCUUGUUUCCCGCACGAAGGAGCAUGCCUCCAUUCCAAGGUUGCAAAUUGAAUCAAACAUUUCAAUUUUUUCACGAGCAUAAAACUGCACAAUUUGCGUCGUUUUGUCUGAUUUUCUGCAUGGGAUCAGAGGAAAAUUAGUGAAUUUAUCGGUCAGAAAUUCUCUCAGUAAAACUGUAAUUUGCGCGGAAAAAUCUGGCAACAAUGAAAUGCAGUUACGUUCUUCGCAAUAGAAACGACGACAUGUCGCAAAUUUUGUCUUUCUCGCAUCAAGUCCCAUUCCUUCAUGCCCGGUCACACGUUUAAAAAUGACUUAAAUGGAGGGAAAAACAAGUCUGAGAAUCGCCUCUGUUCUGCCGUGAUAGCGAAGAGAGCAGUUAAGGGUCUUUUCGAAAUCGAGUAUCCUUCGAAAUUCGUCUGAUCUCUGUCAAAUGAAAUCACUGAAAUAGCUAAAUCAGCGAAAAUCAUCUCAUUGUCAUGAAAAAUAGACAUAUGAGAAAGCCGUAAGUGCGCAGAGAAAUGACGUAGUUUCAGGCAAGACAGCAGUAAGU
rnacentral:lncRNA from 1 species